GACGAACGCUGGCGGCGUGCUUAACACAUGCAAGUCGAACGGAAAGGCCCUGCUUUUGUGGGGUGCUCGAGUGGCGAACGGGUGAGUAACACGUGAGUAACCUGCCCUUGACUUUGGGAUAACUUCAGGAAACUGGGGCUAAUACCGGAUAGGAGCUCCUGCUGCAUGGUGGGGGUUGGAAAGUUUCGGCGGUUGGGGAUGGACUCGCGGCUUAUCAGCUUGUUGGUGGGGUAGUGGCUUACCAAGGCUUUGACGGGUAGCCGGCCUGAGAGGGUGACCGGCCACAUUGGGACUGAGAUACGGCCCAGACUCCUACGGGAGGCAGCAGUGGGGAAUAUUGCACAAUGGGCGGAGGCCUGAUGCAGCAACGCCGCGUGCGGGAUGACGGCCUUCGGGUUGUAAACCGCUUUCGCCUGUGACGAAGCGUGAGUGACGGUAAUGGGUAAAGAAGCACCGGCUAACUACGUG
rnacentral:rRNA from 1 species